rnacentral:rRNA from 1 species
UACGUAGGUGACAAGCGUUGUCCGGAUUUACUGGGCGUAAAGAGCGCGCAGGCGGUCGUUCAAGUCGAGUGUGAAAGCCCCCGGCUCAACUGGGGAGGGUCACUCGAUACUGAUCGACUCGAAGGCAGGAGAGGGUAGUGGAAUUCCCGGUGUAGUGGUGAAAUGCGUAGAUAUCGGGAGGAACACCAGUGGCGAAGGCGACUACCUGGCCUGUUCUUGACGCUGAGGCGCGAAAGCUAGGGAGCAAACGGG